GGUUGUGGUUGGUUUGUUGUCCAGGUAUGUGAAAGGAAUACUUUCAUGCACAUCUAACUGGCUAACUGUUUUCUUCGCUUUUCCAGGUUACUCCUUACUUUAGUUCUGCUUUUUUUUUUUUUAAUUCUCUUGUCUGUAACUUGUGUCUAGUUUUGCUUUAGCUGUAAAUUCUUGAGGGUUUGUGAUAGUUUGUCCAGCCAACUAGGUUACUUUAUGUUAACUUGUUUGUGAUUCUUUGUGUGUUAACAUUUUGAGCGGGGUGCCAUCUUGUUGGGAGUCUAGGUACCCCGUGGCAAGUUCCCUUCACUUGUCUGCAUUGAGCGACUGGACACUCAGGGAUUUCCGCAACUUUGGCCCUGAGCACUGGGGCUCAGACACCCAACACGUGGAGAAGACCUGCAACUUUAUGCUGUAGUGGCUCUCCUUCAUGCACAGCUAGGCAACGACAUGCACUUCAGUAUAUUGUAUUUCUUCUAUGAAGAAGCCUUAUUCAUUACUGUUUAAUACUGAAACAGCCUCAGUAUGUUUAUAUUGGUAACAGUAUUUUAAUAGCAGGCCUGCUGUUAGUCAUGGUGUUGUAAGUCCUCUCACUAAACAGUGUUGAGUCUGUGGGGGAUAUCUGAUACUUUUUCAUAAGUGUGUUUGCUAUUAAUAAAGAACAAAGUUAUAUUAAGUCAUUACAUAUACUAGCCAAAUGGCUGCAAGAUGGGACUUAAAAUAUAAACCUGCCAUACUUAUAGCCUGGGUUCAGAGUACCCAUCUACUGCUUGAACAGGAAUAUAUGGUGACUGUUUUAAACUUAAAUCUGAUCUGACAUCCCUGUUGGGGAACAUGGGAUGCUCUUCUGUCACAGAACCACUCAGUGAAUUAGGUCAAAAGAAAUUAAGUAAAGAACUUGUCAAACAUUAUCUGGCUUUCAUAUUGAAAAUGUAAUGAAAAGUGAACUGGAGAGGAAAUAAAGAUGUUUCUCUUCCUCCUCCACCCUUGUCCCUCAUAUAUUCCAGUGGGUCUGUUAGAGAGAGUGCCUCAGAAGAAACUACCUGGCGUCACUGAUGGCCAGUUAAAAUGUUGGGGACUGGGUCAGGAUUAGGUGAGCAGAAGUAUCAUUCAAAAUUAAACAACACUCAAAUGUAUUGUUAGUUUGUUAUAACCUCUCACUUUGUCCCUCAAGUGAAAUGCUACUUGGACCUGUACCAAAGUAUUUCAACUUUUUGCCCAAACAUAAGGCCAACGCCUACAAUUGAAUUUCUACUUCACUACUAAAACACCCAGGUUCUUCUUUUAGCUCUAGAGAAUAAGAUUCCAAGAAAGGACAUUGUUUUAAAUGAUAAAGACUAUUGAAUAGUCUGCUUAUUUGACUUGUGGUGCAGUAGUAGACUAUAUGGGUGUUUGUGUUCUUGUACUGAAAUAUAUGCAAUAAACUCUUGCCACCCUGAGAAAUUUCUCUUAUUUUAUUUAUUUUUUUUCUAGUUAAAGAAGCUGAAAGGUGUGAUUUCUGAUCCAUCAUCAUUGAAGAACUUUAAAACAUAAAAGUCCAGCAAUGCUCUGUGAAAUACAUUUGAACAUAGCCGUUUUUCUUUUGGAGAUUGAAAUGAAAGCCAGCUGAGUUUAAUUAAUAAUUCAGUCAGUGAAAUUAAUCAUUUAAAUGUUAAUGACAGCCUUUAUUAGGUAUAACUGUAAAGUGUAAUCUAUUCAACAUCUUUGUGAUAAAAUGUAUUUGUGUGAUGCUUGUAAUAUGUUUUUUACGCUGAGCUGUUGAUUCUACUUUUGAGAUGGAGAGUAGAUGGUUUCAUAUUGCAUUUAAUCUAUUUUAAUGAUUUUUUAAACAAUGACAUGCACAUACUGUACAUGAGGAAGACAAUGGCAAUAUUAGAGACGCCUCCAAAUAUAAUGCAGCACCCAAAGGAAAACCCUGUGUUGAUUAAAUGUGUAUUAUAUUGAACAAGCAAUAUCCAAGGUGUUAUUUAGAAAAAUAAAAUAACUGAACAUGCUUGCAUUAUUCAAAAUGUAUGUCUGAAAGAUAAAUUACAGUUGUACUUCAAAUAAAGUAUUUGCACAGAC